UGGUCUUCUGGCCAACUUUUUAUGAAGCUUUGUCGCUCUCUAGAUUGGAUGACAAGACAUUGACACCAUGAUGGUGCAUGCACUAAAUUAAUAAAUCAAAAUGAGCAGCAUGGCCCUAACCUAACCGCCUCCUUUUUAAACUUUCUUCUUCUCCCUUUUCUCGAUUCUCAUCAGCCAUAUCGAUUUUAUAUUGAAAGAUGGGUAGGAGGGAGCUCUUGAAUGCGCUACUAACUUUGCUGCUUCUUCUGUCCAUGGUGUUUCACAGGGGAGCGGCUAUGAUCAGACGCAUUGGCAAGUAUCAACAACCGGGAAGCACUAGCCUAAAAGCGUCGCGAAAGGGUUUGGAUCUGAAAGACGAAUACACGAAAGAAGCCGGUGACAAUAAUGGCAGCGGAGAUUAUGAUUUUUAUGGAGGGCACGGUGAUGUCCCGAGCCCCGGCGUUGGUCACUAGAUCGAUCAUGAAGGUGGCCUUGGAGUUUCUACCCAAUCUUUGGUAUUUGCCUAUACGUCAGAAUCAGCAGCAGAAAUUUUACGACCAAGGAAAAGAAAGUUGUUGUAUCCCACAUCGACAGGUGGAGAAAAGAAAGACUUGGAGAGCUGAUAUGAAAGAGAUUGCCAGACAUUGAUGAACUCAUACCUUUCUCGGCCUUUUGGCUAAGAUCAAGUGUAGUGUCUGUUCGUAUCUGUUUAAUAUCUGAUAUGUGGGCCAAUGGCCCACCUCCUUUAUUAAA